rnacentral:lncRNA from 1 species
ACAGCAUCGAGUGAGCGACCUUUAAUUCACAGCCUGGCUGCAGACAGUCAAAGAAACUACAAACAGGUAGGGAUAACCUUACUAAAUGCUUCCCUGUGUGUCCGCUCCUUCUAAUACAGGUUGUCUUGUUGUUCAGAUCAUUCAGUACUGUCAGUGCCUGGGCUGUGUGAAUGUGUUUGAUAAGAAAGUAUUUUUGUGGAGUGAGAAGGUGUAGCUAAAGAGGCAGGCUUAUGGUGCAAAACUAUGAAGAUUUGAUGAUGCAAAAAAUGCAGCAUAUUUAUCAGGCCAAACCCUAUCAAAUGCAAUAAAGUGGUACUGGUGCCAGUAGUGUCCCAUUAAUAUGCACGGGAACAGGUUGUGGAUCUAAGGACAAUUCUGAUUGCCAUUAUUGAAUCAAGAAACAUUUUUUCACUUUUUGUGGCACAUUUGCUUAAAAAUAUUUAUUUUUUGCCUUCUUUUUGAAUUUUGGAACAGCAAAAAAAAAAAAUGGAUUGACAGAAUGUACUUGUUUGUCAUUUUCAUUUUCCAACCUUGGUUACUAUGUAUUACUAUAUGUAUAAUAUUCACAGUUGUGCAUUCUUUCAUGUAUCCCUUUUCUCUAAUUUCUGCUACGUGUUUUCCUGCAGAGUCCUGUACCAGACAAUCUCUUUGUGAAUUAUCUGUCAAAGAUCCAUAGAGUGAAGGUGAGUAGAAAUGGGUUUAUGAUGCUAUGUGCAUGUUUCUGUCUGUAUACAUACGGGAUUAUUCACUAAAGUGAGAAUUAAUUGUGAAUUAAAAGUGAAUUUCAAAUUUUAUGUCAAAAUAGUCAGAAUUAACAUUUCUAAGUCAGCUGUGAUUUCAGUUUGGCUACUUUAGCCCUAAAUUUGAAAUUCACUUUGAAUUCUCACUUUAGUAGAUAACCCUUGUAGUGUUUGUUUAACCCCUCAGUGACCAGACCGUUUUUCAAUUUUCUUACCGUUAAGGUCCAGGGCUCUUUCUGCAGUGUUUGUAUUUAGCUGUAAUUUUCCUCUUACUCAUUUACUGUACUCACACAUAUUAUAUACCGUUUUUCUCGCCAAUAAAUGGUCUUUCUAAAGAUACAAUUAUUUUCAUUAUAUCAUAUAAUUAACUAUAAAAAAAUUAUAAGAUAUGAUGACAAAAUGUAAAAAACCACACCUUUUCUAACUUUGACCCCCAAAAUCUGUUACGCAUUGAUGUGACGAGUCCAACCUCGCCACUAUGUUCUGGAGAAGCCUGGUUGCUCGUCUGCUGCCUCUGGACUAUGGCCCCAUGUUAAAAGCUUGUAUUUUACCCUGCAGAAAGGCUUGUUUGUGCCUUUCUGCCUGGGUGUUCGGUAGAUUGAAUCUACCAAACCAACUCACGAAUGAAUGGACCACCUGGGUAAGGAGUGUGCCAGUGAUUUACCUCCCAGAAGCUGCGGUUAACCGCAGCUUAAUUGAUGAAUGCUGGGUGGCCACUGUUCAAAUGAAAUUAACCCCAUCAUGGCAUACUAUUUGUAAAAGUAGACAACCCAAGGUAUUCAAAAUGGAGUAUGUCCAGUAUUUUGUAGUAGCCACUUAGCCACAAACACUUGCCAAAGUUAGCGGUCAUAUUUGUGUUUUGCAUUUUUUUUUACACAAAAACUGAGUUUUUACAGGUGAUUUCAUCGUCAUGAUAAGUUUUACUGUGUUAAACACUCAUAUUUGUGUUCAGUGAAUUCUCCCGAGUAUAACAAUACCCACCAUGUACAGGUUUUAUGGUGUUUUGGAAAGUUACAGGUCAGUAUAGGACUUGCCCAAUUCAGUUUGCUGGGUAUGUGUUGCCUUUUGAGACCAUAUUUCCUCUUACUCAUUUACUGUACUCACACAUAUAUACCGUGAAAUAACCCCAUCCUGGCAUACCUUUUUCAAAUGUAGAUAAACCCAGGGUAUUCCAAAUCAGGUAUUUCCAGCCUUUUGUAGCAGCCACUUAGUCACAAACAAACAGUAGGAUGGGACUGCGCCAAUAAACAAAAUUAAAAAGUUAAAAUUAAAAUGAAGCCUAUAUUGGUUAAACGCGUUUGGAUAUUGUACUGUUUUUUUAAUUACUGUUAAUAAAUAGAUUUUGGUCAUUUUAUUCUUUUGCACCAUUAUCUUUUAUUUAUUUUUAUUUUUUAAUUACCUGGCUUUUUAUCUAUUGUCUCCUAUACUCCAAAGAAGCCCGAGGUGGGGAUCAUACCACCCGUGCCUAUACCAUAGAGCAGUUAGUCUGCCCUAUACAUUGUGAGUAUAUUUUAUUAUAUUUUAUAUACCAGCAUUAUUUUACUGAGAGCACUAUUGCUGUUUUAUUAUCUUCUCCCAGAGCUCCUGUUACCAUCUUAAAGAACUAUUUCAAAGAACGCUCACCACAUAUCCCAGAGACGGGGAUCAUACCGUUGCAUGCCUAUUAUACUAGAGCUAGUAUAAGCUCUAUUAAAUGUGAGUGUAUCUAUUAUAUUUUAAUACUUUUUAUCCACUUUUGGGGCAUACUGCACUAUCACUGCUUUUUGUUUUAUUUUCCCCCUGGUUGCCUGUCACUACACUGAAGAGGAAGCUCACUGGAUAUCCUACAAAUGGGGAUAAUACCGCUGCAAGCUAUUCAUACCAGAGCUGGAUUAAUCUCUACUAAAAGUGAG